CUGGAAUGGUAUCCGUCUAGAGAGAUUCCCCGUCGAUUCAAGAUUCAAAGAUGUUAAGGCUGCCGCACGCACAGGCAAGCGACCAACAAUCGGCAUUAUGCGUCACUGGCAAAGAGCUGGUGCUUCGCUGACUACCCAUCACCUACGCCGUCACCGAAGUCGAACAGGAAAUCAGAUUGAAGUGCCUGGAAGUCACGCUACAGAUCUUUAAGAAACCCCAAAUCGGAGGCAAUAUUGGUCUUAAUUAGGAACCAAUAGCUUCCGGUACAACCUGUCCGAGAUACUCACAAUGGUGACGAUUUAAAAGUUGCUGCCACAUCUGAAACGGGACGGGACACAGCAUUGCUGAAGGGCAUCACCUCCAUCGAGUACCAAGCAGAUUCUUCCUCGACCAACUGCAAAUAACUUGAGGCGCUCAGCGUUGAACUGACCGACUAAUUGGUGGCUGCCCGAACUUCGAACCAAAGGCUUGUAUCUUUGAGUACAACUUGCCUUGAAAUACUCGGGCUAUGGAUUGUUCAUCGUUGCAGGUGACUCUGAAAAAGUCGGCGGUCGAAACCGAUGUCAAAUUAAAAGUAUUCAAUGGGCUAAAUCAC